ensembl:lncRNA
CUGCUCUUUCUAGAGAUGUUCAGCCCAGCCCCAAUGCAAUGAACAGUCCAUAUCUGUGCCUGUCCCAGGAGACUGCAGGUGGGCUCUUGAUGGUUAACUUCCAGGAACUGAAAUUAAUAUCGAUGAGAGAAACUGUUGAGGGAUCUAUUUAACUCCUUGGGAGAAAGAAACAAACAAACAAGCAAAAAAUGAACCCUGCCCUAAAGCUUCCAGAGCUCCUUUUUGGGGAAGACCUAUUAUCUUUAAAAUGUUCAGGAGGGAAGAAGAGAGGGGGAAAGGAGCAGAGAGAGACUGGCAACAACCCACAACAAGUUCAGAAUAACCCCAUGAUUACUGGCUUUUGUGGCUGCCUUUUUUGAGCUUUCCCAUCUGAACUAUGUCAAUAAUUAAAUAUCCAAUGAAAGAUGGAUAUGCAACCGGAUUUCCCACAUCCUUGGUUAGGUCUGAGCAAUCAGGGUAUUGAAAUAAACAUUUGGUUGAAAAAUUCCUCAGUACCCCAGACUGAGCCUACUUAUCUCCUGUGCUGUGGCUGAGGUCUGCAAAUAAUUUUAUUGCAUAGCAAAGAGUAUUUCCAGUUAAAGAUGUUGUUCAAUAUCACUCUGUUUUCCUUUAUUCUUGGAUUAUCACGAUGCCAUAUACCUCUCUUUUCUCCUGCAUGAUGCCUAUUAACAUUUUUUUUUCUUUUUUUUAAUGAAAAGGUCUUCUGCUUCCAAUCAUACUGCUCAUCCUUACAUCUCAACAGUGAAAAGGUAGUUUUUACAUAAAAAUGAAGAGCAGUUUGCAGGAUCUUCAUUUCUGUUUGCAAUGCUCAUGUCUAAAAUAUGCUAUUUAAACCAAGGCAGUACAGUUGUGGUCAUUUUUAUUUUGUUUCUGCAACUUUCUUUAAAGAGGAUACACACAAAGAAAGCAGAGCUCUCAGAGCUCUUCACUUUCCUUUCAUCCUAGGCUCAUGGGCAAGUGGCAGGGAGUUCCCAUGAUGUUCCAAGUAAGCCCAGCGGGGCCAUUAGUGCAAUCCAAAUCUCCCAGCCCCAGUAAAUUUUUCUGGUGCCUUUCCAGGGGCUGAAGUAUGAGACCAAUUUAAGGAAAUAAUGUAAUGCACUGCUAUAGUAAAGACACUAUACAUCUGCACAUGAUGACAACUUAACUGCAGGUACUGGAUGGGUCCCACAGGUUAUAUUUAUUAUGUCUCUGAAAAUGACCACAAGCGAGGAAAGUGAAUUAAUUCCUUUCAGUGAUACAGUAUUUUUGGAGGCUGCGUUUCUCCUUCGCUCUGAGUUUUCAAUAGGCCAGCCCCCUCCUGCUGGCCCCCUCUCUUGAUUAGUGCCUGGAGACCAUGGAUUUGGAAUGACAUUCCAGGCUGAUCUAGUAACAGGGUUUGGACAUGAACGCUGCAAGCAUCGAGCCAAACUGGAGUCCUCGCUAUGCCAGAAAUGCAUUGUUCAGCACUGUCUGGGCAGUGCACCUGCACCUGUGUGCUGGAACUGCCACCAAGGAAACCUUCCUGCAGACCUGCUUCUCAUUACAUACCCAGAUCAACAUGCUCUUUGGAAUGACAUAGGAUCUGGCCAGCUCCCUCUCCUGCGCUGCUGUACCCUGAGGCAGAUCACACAUGUUGUAACCACACUGAAAAUAUUUCCUGAAGAACAGCAGGAGAAGGAGUGGGAGAAAUGCAGGCAAGAACUUACAGUGGGGAAGGAAAGGUAAUUCUUCUGUUCUUCAUGCUCUCUUAGGAGCUAAUUGAACUAUUUAAAGUACUGGUUGCAAUUAGUUAGGUAAGAAAGGGCAUGUUUUGUUGCAGUGUAACAUUCAAAUGAUUUCUCACAUUGUACACUCCCAUGUCAUACAAUACUGUAACUUACAACCCUAACACCUCCAGCCCAAAACAGAUGGAGAAAAUUUAGAAAUUUGCCACCAAUUUAUACUUAAUAUGAAAAAACCCACAACCGAUUAAUCAGACUUCUCAGGUCUGCUAAAAUAAACAAGUGAACAGAAAAUGUUUUGAUAAUGAAAGCGCUAUUGCUGGUGUUAAUAACACUACGUUGAACCGUGAAGCAGGGAUAAAGAAUGAGAGUGCUAGUCUUGAUCUGAAACUGAAUACAGGACAGAGGCCCUGGAGUGUGUCCAGAAAAGAGCAACAAACCUGUGAAUGGUCUGGAAUACAAGUCUUAUGGGGAGCAAGUGAGUUCAGUUUGAGAAGAGGUGGCUCAUCAGAGACCUUAUGGUUCUCUGCAACUGCCUGAAAGGAGGUUGGGGUGAGAUUGGGCAUCUUCUCCCAGGUAACAGUGAUAGGAUGGGGUGGAAUGGCCUUACGUUGUGCCAGAGGAGGUUCAGGUUGGAUACUGGGAAACAUUUCUUCUCA